GAGUUUGAUCAUGGCUCAGAUUGAACGCUGGCGGCAGGCCUAACACAUGCAAGUCGAGCGGAUGACGGGAGCUUGCUCCUUGAUUCAGCGGCGGACGGGUGAGUAAUGCCUAGGAAUCUGCCUGGUAGUGGGGGACAACGUUUCGAAAGGAACGCUAAUACCGCAUACGUCCUACGGGAGAAAGCAGGGGACCUUCGGGCCUUGCGCUAUCAGAUGAGCCUAGGUCGGAUUAGCUAGUUGGUGGGGUAAUGGCUCACCAAGGCGACGAUCCGUAACUGGUCUGAGAGGAUGAUCAGUCACACUGGAACUGAGACACGGUCCAGACUCCUACGGGAGGCAGCAGUGGGGGAAUAUUGGACAAUGGGCGAAAGCCUGAUCCAGCCAUGCCGCGUGUGUGAAGAAGGUCUUCGGAUUGUAAAGCACUUUAAGUUGGGAGGAAGGGCGAGUAAGUUAAUAACCUUGCUGUUUUGACGUUACCGUACAGAAUAAGCACCGGCUAACUCUGUGCCAGCAC
rnacentral:rRNA from 1 species